rnacentral:rRNA from 1 species
CCACACAGUAAACGAUGAAUACUCGCUGUUUGCGAUAUACAGUAAGCGGCCAAGCGAAAGCAUUAAGUAUUCCACCUGGGGAGUACGCCGGCAACGGUGAAACUCAAAGGAAUUGACGGGGGCCCGCACAAGCGGAGGAACAUGUGGUUUAAUUCGAUGAUACGCGAGGAACCUUACCCGGGCUUAAAUCACAUACGAACGUUCCGGAAACGGGACGGCCGCAAGGCGUAUGUGAAGGUGCUGCAUGGUUGU